AUGGCCACUUGGCCGGCAGUACAACCAUCGUUGCCGGACGGUGAACAGUGGGACUGGUCCCUGCAUCAGGAGAAGCCGCGCACACACUUGGCUCGCGCGCAGAUCAAGCACAAGAAGUUUGCGGAUUUGAACAGAACGAAACGUGUGUUCCAAGUCGGAGACAAAGUUCUUCUGAAACUUCAGCCUUAUGUUCAGAAAUCAGUGGCAAGUCGCCCCUGUCCCAAACUAGCAUUCAAGUUCUUCGGGCCUUUCUCCGUGCUCGAGAGGAUCGGUCCCUUUGCAUACAAACUGGAACUGCCUGGGGAUAGCCGCAUACAUCCGGUAUUCCAUGUAUCCCAACUGAAGCCAUUCACACCAAACUACAGUCCUGUGUUCUCUGAAUUGCCAGUCAUUGCUGAUCUGUCGUCAGACAAGACUGUACCAGUGAAGAUUGUGGAUCGCAGAAUGAGGAAAAGGGGCAAUGCACCGGUGAUUCAGUUGCAAGUAGCUUGGAACACGGUGCCACCUUCGACAACAUGGGAGGACUAUGAGGUGCUUCGCCAGAGUCACCCACACGCAAGCAUCUGGGAAGACGAGACACAAGAGGAGGGAGCACCAUCUCAAGGAGGGGAGAAUGUCACCACGGUAGUGUAG
rnacentral:rRNA from 1 species